rnacentral:rRNA from 1 species
UACGUAGGGGGCAAGCGUUGUCCGGAUUUAUUGGGCGUAAAGAGCGUGUAGGCGGCCAGACAGGUCCGUUGUGAAAACUCGAGGCUCAACCUCGAGAUGUCGAUGGAAACCGCCUGGCUAGAGUCCGGAAGAGGAGUGUGGAAUUCCUGGUGUAGCGGUGAAAUGCGCAGAUAUCAGGAAGAACACCUAUGGCGAAGGCAGGUCUCUGGGCCGAUACUGACGCUGAGGAGCGAAAGCGUGGGGAGCAAACAGG